UCAGUUGUGAAAGUUUGCGGCUCAACCGUAAAAUUGCAGUUGAUACUGGAUAUCUUGAGUGCAGUUGAGGCAGGCGGAAUUCGUGGUGUAGCGGUGAAAUGCUUAGAUAUCACGAAGAACUCCGAUUGCGAAGGCAGCCUGCUAAGCUGCAACUGACAUUGAGGCUCGAAAGUGUGGGUAUCAAACAGGAUUAGAUACCCUGGUAGUCCACACAGUAAACGAUGAAUACUCGCUGUUUGCGAUAUACAGUAAGCGGCCAAGCGAAAGCAUUAAGUAUUCCACCUGGGGAGUACGCCGGCAACGGUGAAACUCAAAGGAAUUGACGGGGGCCCGCACAAGCGGAGGAACAUGUGGUUUAAUUCGAUGAUACGCGAGGAACCUUACCCGGGCUUAAAUUGCAUUUGAAUAUAUUGGAAACAGUAUAGUCGUAAGACAAAUGUGAAGGUGCUGCAUGGUUGUCGUCAGCUCGUGCCGUGAGGUGUCGGCUUAA
rnacentral:rRNA from 1 species